rnacentral:rRNA from 1 species
UCAAACGAGAGUUUGAUCCUGGCUCAGAAUCAACGCUGGCGGCGUGCCUAACACAUGCAAGUCGCACGAGUAAGGGUAGCAUUACCUGAGUAAAGUGGCGUACGGGUGAGUA